rnacentral:lncRNA from 1 species
GGGGUGCUCAUCCAUUUUCGAUAUCACAGUUCUCCCCACCACCUGUUGAUAUUAUAAAUGUUUGGUACAUGAGUGAAGUUACAUUCUAUCAUGAAAAUCACAAAGAAGCAAAAGAAAGCUUUUUUUACUAUCAAUAAACAAAAAGAAACAAUCUGAUCAAGAAAUGACUUACCUGCAAUCAGAAGAAGUGGGAACUAAAGGAUUGGGUAUUAAAAAUUCAGAAUCUUGACUCGACCUCUCCUUCGACACAAAUUAGGAACUGAUUUUGAGAGUCGGAUUAUUUGGGAUUUCUUGCUACAAUCCGGACAGAAAGAGUGAGAUUAGGGUUAGAAUAAAGAGAAAAGGUACAAAAGGCACAUAUCCAUAUACCAUAGAUAUUUUGACGAACAAUUAUAGUAUUCGAAUAUGGUGUGAAAACGAGGGUAGAGAAAUGAACAAUAAAGGCCACAUUCACUCUUUUCUUCAAGUGCAUAGAUUCUCAAGUGGAAUCGGUUUGAAACAAGUCUAAUGUGAAAAUGGCC